AAGAAGAAUCAGGUAGAACCUGAGAUGAAGGAGAAGCAGGGGAAGAAGAAGAAGCAGGUAGAACCUGAGAUCAUUAAAGCAGGAGAUUAUGUUAAUAUCUCUGAUCUUCUCUUCACCAAAAAGAGGGAUUACCUCGUCAAAUUCAAUGGUGACAAGGUAUUAUUCUAGUGGAGUAGUUGUUAAUUUCUGUUACUGAAUUUUGGUUUUUAUCUUACUAAAUAUCAUGUGGAAUUCAUAUAGCAAGAAUUUUGGUUU
rnacentral:lncRNA from 1 species